GAUGAACGCUGGCGGCGUGCCUAAUACAUGCAAGUCGAGCGAACAGACGAGGAGCUUGCUCCUCUGACGUUAGCGGCGGACGGGUGAGUAACACGUGGAUAACCUACCUAUAAGACUGGGAUAACUUCGGGAAACCGGAGCUAAUACCGGAUAAUAUAUUGAACCGCAUGGUUCAAUAGUGAAAGACGGUUUUGCUGUCACUUAUAGAUGGAUCCGCGCCGCAUUAGCGAGUUGGUAAGGUAACGGCGUACCAAGGCAACGAUGCGUAGCCGACCUGAGAGGGUGAUCGGCCACACUGGAACUGAGACACGGUCCAGACUCCUACGGGAGGCAGCAGUAGGGAAUCUUCCGCAAUGGGCGAAAGCCUGACGGAGCAACGCCGCGUGAGUGAUGAAGGUCUUCGGAUCGUAAAACUCUGUUAUUAGGGAAGAACAAAUGUGUAAGUAACUAUGCACGUCUUGACGGUACCUAAUCAGAAAGCCACGGCUAACUACGUG
rnacentral:rRNA from 1 species